GCGUGUGUGUGUUUGUGUGAGAGAAAGCGUGCGUGUGUUUGUAUGAGAGAAAGCGUGUGUGUGUUUGUAUGAGAGAAAGCGUGAGUGUGUUUGUAUGAGAGAAAGCGUGCGUGUGUUUGUAUGAGAGAAAGCGUGUGUGUGUUUGUGUGAGAGAAAGCGUGCGUGUGUUUGUGUGAGAGAAAGCGUGCGUGUGUUUGUGUGAGAGAAAGCCGUGCGUGUGUUUGUGUGAGAGAAAGCGUGUGUGUGUUUGUGUGAGAGAAAGCGUGCGUGUGUUUGUAUGAGAGAAAGCGUGCGUGUGUUUGUGUGAGAGAAAGCGUGUGUGUGUUUGUAUGAGAGAAAGCGUGCGUGUGUUUGUGUGAGAGAAAGCGUGCGUGUGUUUGUAUGAGAGAAAGCGUGUGUAUGAGAGAAAGCGUGUGUUUGUAUGAGAGAAAGCGCGCGUGUGUUUGUGUAGAGAAAGCCGUGUGUUUGUAUGAGAGAAAGCGUGUGUAUGAGAGAAAGCGUGUGUUUGUAUGAGAGAAAGCGCGCGUGUGUUUGUGUAAGAGAAAGCGUCCGUGUGUUUGUAUGAGAGAAAGCGCGCGUGUGUUUGUGUAAGAGAAAGCGUGCGUGUGUUUGUGUGAGAGAAAGCGUGUGUAUGAGAGAAAGCGUGUGUUUGUAUGAGAGAAAGCGCGCGUGUGUUUGUGUAAGAGAAAGCGUGCGUGUGUUUGUGUGAGAGAAAGCGUGCGUGUGUUUGUGUGAGAGAAAGCGUGCGUCUGUUUGUGUGAGAGAAAGCGUGCAUGUGUUUGUGUGAGACAAAGCAUGCGUGUGUUUGUGUGAGAGAAAGCGUGCGUCUGUUUGUGUGAGAGAAAGCGUGCGUGUGUUUGUAUGAGAG
ensembl:lncRNA